rnacentral:lncRNA from 1 species
CUCGUCAUACAUAGGCACAUGAUCCUUCAUCUCUAAACAGGCAUAACCCUUAUUGUUUCAGGUUUUCUCAUGAGGUGUGAUGUUAGUUUAUCAUUUUUAACAAUACCCACAUUUAAAAGAUUUGUAGCAUAUGCAUUGUACACACAGAUAAUCAUAUAUUCAUUAUAAUUAGUAUUUUGCAAGUGCAAUGCAUGGUAUUUUUAUAUAAAAAAGAUG